rnacentral:rRNA from 1 species
UACGGGGGGGGCAAGCGUUGUUCGGAAUUACUGGGCGUAAAGGGCUCGUAGGCGGCCAACUAAGUCGGAUGUGAAAUCCCCAGGCUUAACCUGGGAACUGCAUCUGAUACUGGAUGGCUUGAAUCCGGGAGAGGGAUGCAGAAUUCCAGGUGUAGCGGUGAAAUGCGUAGAUAUCUGGAGGAAUACCGGUGGCGAAGGCGGCAUCCUGGACCGGCAUUGACGCUGAUGAGCGAAAGCGUGGGGAGCGAACAGG